UACGUAGGGUGCGAGCGUUAAUCGGAAUUACUGGGCGUAAAGCGUGCGCAGGCGGUUUUGUAAGCCAGAUGUGAAAGCCCCGGGCUCAACCUGGGAAUGGCAUUUGAGACUGCAAGGCUGGAGUAUGGCAGAGGAGACUAGAAUUCCUGGUGUAGCAGUGAAAUGCGUAGAUAUCAGGAGGAACACCGAUGGCGAAGGCAGGUCUCUGGGCUGAUACUGACGCUCAUGCACGAAAGCGUGGGGAGCAAACAGG
rnacentral:rRNA from 1 species